rnacentral:tRNA from 1 species
GCCUUCGUGGUGUAACGGUUAGCACACUCGGCGCGUAUUCUAGAGGUCCAGGUUCGAGUCCUGGCGAAGGCA